AGGCUUGCUGAAGAGAUCCACUGGUUUCAUUGGAGAGAUCUUCAUUUGAUUGGAAAUUGCUUCUAGUGUAGGAUAAACUAAAUAUUUGCUGACACUAUUGGAGGAASAAUGCGUUUCAGUUCAAAUGUAAAACUGUUUGUUCUCCUUCUCAUUGUUGGAAUCUUCUUGCUUCUGGGGUAUGUUCACUACAGCUUCUUCAAUGAAAGGCUCAAUGGGGUUUGGUGUGAGGCUUCCAACAGAGAUAUCCCGGUUGAUGAGGACCAGAGGAACACCAGUCUGAGUAAGCCCAUAUUCAGGAGCAGAGUACGGAACAUAUAUCUCUCAAGAAAGGUG